rnacentral:lncRNA from 1 species
AUAAUUGAUAAUUAAUAGCAACAAUAUUUUCUAAAAUUAUAAAAUAAUUUUUAAGGUACAAACAAAAUUAUAUCGACCCGAAAAUUUGAAAUCCUGCACGUCUGAAAAACAUUGGGGUAUGAAAGCCGGUACUACCAAUUGUGUCAAAAUUCGAAUCUAGAGGUGCCUAUGUGAAGCUUUCGGUACGAGGAGUCCGAAAACACUGAAAUCACAGCCCAAAUCUCGCCGGAGAACAUCGGAUCGCGGCUGGAAGGGGGCUACUUCAGUGAGGCUUCACCAAGAUUGUCGGCGAUGAUGGAGGCUGGAGGAAGGGUUGUUCCUGGCUUUUGGAGGGCGAGGAACUCGAAUCCAGCGUCAGAUCUGCAGGUAAACAAUGAUAGGAGGUUGGUUAUAUGGUGGCAGCGAGGAGGAAUAAUUUCAACCUCAAGUCGACAUCGACAGAGGAGAAGAAGAAGAAGAAAAGAAGAAGAAGAAGAAGGAGGGAAAGAAGGACGACAACGCAAGGGAGUAGGAAGGAGGAAGUUUCGGUGGCUAGUGGUGGUGAUAGGUGGCUGGAAAUGGAAGGUGUAGGGGAGAGGGAGGUGGCGUCGGAAAAGAAGGGAGGAAGGGGAUGGGGCGAAAAUGAAAUUUUCCAAAAAGAUGAAAAAAGUCCAAAGCCCCCUUCCUUAAAUGCAUUGCUCCAGUAAAACCCUUUUUAUUUCUAUUAUUAUACAUAUGUGUAUAUCUACACACAUACACUUAAUCAUUAUUGUCACCAUUAAUUACUAGCUUAAACUCUUAAUAAUAAAGAUCACUCUAUAAAAUAAAC